rnacentral:rRNA from 1 species
AUUGAACGCUGGCGGCAGGCCUAACACAUGCAAGUCGAGCGGAUGAAGGGAGCUUGCUCCUGGAUUUAGCGGCGGUCGGGUGUGUAAUGCCUAGGAAUCUGCCUGGUAGUGGGGGAUAACGUCCGGAAACGGGCGCUCAUACAGCAUAGGCUCCGAGGGCGACAGUGGGGGACCUUCGGACCUCACGCUAUCAGAUGAGCCCAGGUCGGAUUAGAUAGUUGGUGGGGUAAAGGCCUACUAAGGCGACGAUCGGCAACUGGUCUGAGCGGGUGAUCAGGCACACGGGAACUGAGACACGGUCCAGACUCCUGCAGUGAGCAGCAGUGGGGAAUAUUAGACGAUGGGGGAGAGCCUAAUCCAGCCAUACCGCGUGUGUGAAGAAGGACUGCGGAUGGUAGAGCACUUUAGGUUGGGAGGAAGUGCAGUAAGUUAAUACCUUGCUAUUUUGACGUUACCAACAGAAUAAGCACCGGCUAACUUCGUG